AUUGAACGCUGGCGGCAGGCCUAACACAUGCAAGUCGAACGGUAGCACAGAGAGCUUGCUCUCGGGUGACGAGUGGCGGACGGGUGAGUAAUGUCUGGGAAACUGCCCGAUGGAGGGGGAUAACUACUGGAAACGGUAGCUAAUACCGCAUAACGUCUUCGGACCAAAGUGGGGGACCUUCGGGCCUCACACCAUCGGAUGUGCCCAGAUGGGAUUAGCUAGUAGGUGGGGUAACGGCUCACCUAGGCGACGAUCCCUAGCUGGUCUGAGAGGAUGACCAGCCACACUGGAACUGAGACACGGUCCAGACUCC
rnacentral:rRNA from 1 species